GGUGUAUCAAAAAAAACUGAACAGAUUUGAAAUUGCUCUCAAUUUCGCAAAACACCUAUUUGUAUCUGGUUUUUUAUAUAUGUAGCUUCUUUGGGUACUUAUAAUGUAAAUAAUGAAAAAAAUUUCUCGAACCCAAAUUUUGUGAACCAGGGGGGUGUGUCUUUUCCAACAAAUUAAAAAUGGCUCGCGCACAAAAUUCAAAAGCUGUAAUCAUAUUUUGAGUUAAUAGAUUGAAAAUUUGUCGGGUUUUUAAUUACUGUACAAAAUUUCAGACAAUUUGGUUUAGUUUAAGCCCUUUAACUAUUCAUUUUGUUCUAAAAAGUCAGCCUUUCGCAUGCUUAAUUAAUGCCUUUACCUAAUUUGCAUAUUGCUGACAUAUGCAAAUUAGGCAAAUGCAUUAAUUAAGCAUGCAAAUAGCUGAUUUUUCGGGAAAAUUGUAACUUUGCGUGAAUAGUUAAGCAGCUUAAACUAAACCAAAUUGUCUGAAAUUUUGGACAGUAAUUAAAAUCCCGACAAAUUUUCCAUCUGUUAACUCAAAAUAUGAUUGCAUCUUUUAAAUUUUGUGCGCGAGCCAUUUUUAGUUUGUUGGAAAAGGCACACCCCCCUGGUUCACAAAAUCUGAGUUCGAGAAAUUUUUCUCAUUAUUCUACAUUAUAAGUACCCAAAGAGGCUAUAUAUA